UACAGAGGUCCAAAGCGUUGUGCGGAUUCACUGGGCGUAAAGGGUGCGUGGGCGGUCGGGUAAGGCUGAUGGGAAAUCUCACAGCUUAACUGUGAAACUGCAUUGGAUACUAUUCGGCUUGAGAGUUGGAGGGGGGACUGGAAUUCUCGGUGUAGCAGUGAAAUGCGUAGAUAUCGGGAGGAACACCAGUGGCGAAGGCGAUCAUCUGGGGUUGUUCUGACACUGAGGAGCGAAAGCUAGGGGAGCAAACAGG
rnacentral:rRNA from 1 species